GUGGGGAAUAUUCCGCAAUGGACGAAAGUCUGACGGAGCAACGCCGCGUGAGUGAUGAAGGUUUUCGGACUGUAAAGCUCUGUUGUUUAGGACGAAAGUGCCUGUUGCAAACAGUUACAGGUAUUGACGGUACUAAACGAGGAAGCCACGGCUAACUACGUGCCAGCAGCCGCGGUAAUACGUAGGUGGCAAGCGUUGUCCGGAAUUAUUGGGCGUAAAGAGCAUGUAGGCGGGAAUCUAAGUCUGUUGUGAAAAUGCGGGGCUCAACCCCGUAUUGCGAUGGAAACUGGGUUUCUUGAGUGCAGGAGAGGAAAGGGGAAUUCCCAGUGUAGCGGUGAAAUGCGUAGAUAUUGGGAGGAACACCAGUGGCGAAGGCGCCUUUCUGGACUGUGUCUGACGCUGAGAUGCGAAAGCCAGGGUAGCGAACGGGAUUAGAUACCCGGGUAGUCC
rnacentral:rRNA from 1 species